rnacentral:rRNA from 1 species
UACAGAGGUCCCAAGCGUUGUUCGGAUUCAUUGGGCGUAAAGGGUGCGUAGGUGGCGCUGUAAGUCGGGUGUGAAAUUUCGGAGCUUAACUCCGAAACUGCAUUCGAUACUGCCGUGCUUGAGGACUGGAGAGGAGACUGGAAUUUACGGUGUAGCGGUGAAAUGCGUAGAUAUCGUAAGGAAGACCAGUGGCGAAGGCGGGUCUCGUGGACAGUUCCUGACACUGAGGCACGAAGGCCAGGGGAGCAAACGGG